CUUUCUCCGCCGGCGACCGGCGCACGGGUGAGUAACACGUAUGCAACCUGCCCCUGUCAGGGGGACAACCCGCCGAAAGGGCGGGCUAAACCCGCGUAUAUGCCACCGGGCAUCCCGGAGGCAGGAAAAGGGCUUCGGCCGGACAGGGAUGGGCAUGCGGCGCAUUAGGCAGUAGGCGGGGUAACGGCCCACCUAACCGACGAUGCGUAGGGGUUCUGAGAGGAAGGUCCCCCACACUGGUACUGAGACACGGACCAGACUCCUACGGAAGGCAGCAG
rnacentral:rRNA from 1 species